rnacentral:lncRNA from 1 species
AUGCAAGGCAUGGCCCAACUACCCCCAUUUAUUGGUAGAGGAAAUAAUCAAUUCUGUGACAUGAAAGAAUUUAUCUCUAAAUAUGAAAAGGAGAUUUCAGAACAAUGUGAGCCGUUCAUGCACACACGUGCAUGCACACCCACACGUGGGGACUGGGAUCAUGCACACACAUGGAAACCAGAUCAUGCACACACAUACAUGGAGACCAGGGUCAUGUGCACACACACACAUGCACACCCACACGUGGAGACUGGGGUCAUACAAACACACACAUGGAAACCGGAUCAUGUACACACACACGUGGAGACUGGAGUCAUGCACACCCACACAUGGAGACCAGAUCAUGCACAUACACACGUGGAGACCAGGGUCAUGUACACGCACACAUGGAGACCAGAUCGUGCACACAUACACAUGCGGAGACCGGGGUCAUGCACACCCACACAUGGAGACCAAAUCGUGCACACAUACACAUGUGGAGACUGGGGUCAUGCAUACACACACAUGGAAACUGGAUCAUGCACACACACACAUGGAAACUGGGGUCAUGCACACCCACACAUGGAGACUGGGGUAAUGCACACCCACACAUGGAGACCAGAUCGUGCACACACACAUGUGGAAACUGGAUCAUGCACACACACGUGGAGACCGGAUCAUGCACACCCACACAUGGAGACUGGGGUCAUGCACACAUACAUGUGGAAACUGGAUAAGGCACACACACACGUGGAGACCGGGGUCAUGUGCAUGCACACACACACACGUGGAGACUGGGGUCAUGCACACAUAUGCACACCCACACAUGAAGACUGGAGUCAUGCAAACACGUGGAAACCGGAUCAUGCACACACACACACACACACGUGGAGACUGGGGUCAUGCAAACACACAGGUGGAGACAAGAUCAUGCACACACACACGUGGAGACUGGGGUCAUGCACACACACACAUGGAAACUGGAUCAUGCACACACACACGUGGAGACUGGGGUCAUGCACACCCACACAUAGAGACCAGGGUCAUGUGCACACACACACAUGCAGAUCCACACUUGGAGACUGCGGUCAUGUACACAUAUGCACACCCACACAUGUAGACCAGGGUCAUGCAAACACACAUGUGGAAACUGGAUCUUGCACACAUACACACGUGGAGACCAAAGUCAUGCACACCCACACAUGGAGACCUGAUCAUGCACACACACACGUGGAGACUGAGGUCACGCACACAUGUGGAAACCGGAUCAUGCACACACACACACGGAGACCAGGGUCACGCACACCCACACAUGGAGACCGGGGUCAUGCACACACACACGUGGGGACCAGGGUCAUGCACACACACAUAUGGAGACCAGGGUCACGCACACACACUCACGCAUGCCCACACGUGGAGACCAGGGUCUGGAAGCAUAGCCUUCAAAACGUUAACCAGUUCCACCACUAG